rnacentral:rRNA from 1 species
GACGAACGCUGGCGGCGUGCUUAACACAUGCAAGUCGAACGGAAAGGCCCUGCUUUUGUGCGUUGCUCGAGUGGCGAACGGGUGAGUAACACGUGAGUAACCUGCCCUUGACUUUGGGAUAACUUCAGGCAACUGGGGCUAAUACCGGAUAGGAGCUCCUGCUGCAUGGUGGGGGUUGGAAAGUUUCGGCGGUUGGGGAUGGACUCGCGGCUUAUCAGCUUGUUGGUGGGGUAGUGGCUUACCAAGGCGUUGACGGGUAGCCGGCCUGAGAGGGUGACCGGCCACAUUGGGACUGAGAUACGGCCGAGACUCCUACGGGAGGCAGCAGUGGGGAAGAUUGCACGAUGGGGGGAAGCAUGAUGCAGCAACGCCGCGUGCGGGAUGACGGACUUCUUGUUGUAGACCGCUUUCGCCUGUAACGAAGCGUGAGUGACGGUAAUGGGUAAAGAAGCACCGGCUAACUACGUG